rnacentral:ncRNA from 1 species
UUUUAAGUGUAAAAGAAGAAAGAUAAUAAAGACAACGAGUUAAUAGGCCUUGUACCAGCUAUUUAAUAAAGAGUUCGUAACAGUUCACUCGAUAAACUAUUAUUCUUCGAAAAUUUUGGUGGCUUAAAAA